CCUACGGGAGGCAGCAGUGGGGAAUUUUGGACAAUGGGCGAAAGCCUGAUCCAGCAAUGCCGCGUGAGUGAAGAAGGCCUUCGGGUUGUAAAGCUCUUUUGUCAGGGAAGAAACGGUGAGAGCUAAUAUCUCUUGCUAAUGACGGUACCUGAAGAAUAAGCACCGGCUAACUACGUGCCAGCAGCCGCGGUAAUACGUAGGGUGCAAGCGUUAAUCGGAAUUACUGGGCGUAAAGCGUGCGCAGGCGGUUUUGUAAGUCUGAUGUGAAAUCCCCGGGCUCAACCUGGGAAUUGCAUUGGAGACUGCAAGGCUAGAAUCUGGCAGAGGGGGGUAGAAUUCCACGUGUAGCAGUGAAAUGCGUAGAUAUGUGGAGGAACACCGAUGGCGAAGGCAGCCCCCUGGGUCAAGAUUGACGCUCAUGCACGAAAGCGUGGGGAGCAAACAGGAUUAGAUACCCUGGUAGUCCACGCCCUAAACGAUGUCUACUAGUUGUCGGGUCUUAAUUGACUUGGUAACGCAGCUAACGCGUGAAGUAGACCGCCUGGGGAUACGGUCGCAAGNUUAAAACGUCAAAUGAAUUGACGG
rnacentral:rRNA from 1 species